GGUGAACGCUGGCGGCGUGCCUAACACAUGCAAGUCGAGCGCCCAGCACUUUUUAUUUGAUACACUUUGAGAUCGAAUGAAGGGUGCUGGGAGCGGCGAACGGGUGAGUAACGCGUUGGAACCUGCCUCGAAGUGAGGGAUAAGCACCAGAAAUGGUGUCUAAUACCUCAUGUGAUCUACGGAUUAAAGAUUUAUCGCUUCGAGAGGGUCCUACGUCUGAUAGCUUGUUGGUAAGGUAAUGGCUUACCAAGGCGACGAUCAGUAGCUGGUCUGAGAGGAUGAUCAGCCACACUGGGACUGAGAUACGGCCCAGACUCCUACGGGAGCAGCAGUCGGAAUUUUGCACAAUGGACGAAAGUCUGAUGCAGCGACGCCGCGUGCAGG
rnacentral:rRNA from 1 species